CUCCGCCAGAAAAUUACGGGUAAAAAGCCUAAAACUCAAAAGACUUGACGGUGUCCCAACCUACCUAGAGGAGCCUGUUCCAUAAUCGACAACCCCCGAUAAACCAAACCACUCUUUGAACUUCUCAGCCUAUAUACCGCCGUCGCCAGUUUACCUUUUAAAAGAAUUAAAGCAAACUAAAUAACAACACAUUAACAAGUCAGGUCAAGGUGUAGCAUAUAGAGUGGAGAAAAUGGGCUACAUUAUUUACUUUAAAUAAAACGGAUUUAUCCUAUGAAAAAGAACAUGAAGGCGGAUUUAAUAGUAAUUUAAACAAGAA
rnacentral:rRNA from 1 species